rnacentral:piRNA from 1 species
UGCUAAGAAAGCUUAACCUUCCUCGAUUC